rnacentral:rRNA from 1 species
UACGUAGGGGGCGAGCGUUGUCCGGAGUUACUGGCCGUAAAGGGCAUGCAGGCGGUCCGACACGUUUUGUGUGACAGCGGGUGGCUUAACUACCCGAGGAUGCGAAAGACGGUUGGACUUGAGGACUCGAGAGGGACACGGAAUUCCGGGUGGAGUGGUGAAAUGCGUAGAGAUCCGGAGGAACACCGGUGGUGUAGACGGCUUUCUGGACCGUAACUGACGCUGAGACACGAAAGCGUGGGUAGCAAACAGG